rnacentral:antisense_RNA from 1 species
UUGAGAGCAGGGCAGCGCAUGGGGAGUGAGUGUAACCACAGUUGACAACACCACCUGCUUUUUUGAGGACAGUGAAGAACUCCACAAGUGCCUGCCUUGGUUCUGCUGUGCUUGCAGCUGUCACGGGAUCUGAAGCCAGCCCACUGCUUUCACAGAAUGAAGCUCCAGCUCAUCCACCCAGAUGCCAAGGACCAGGACACCCUCAACCAGUAACACACACUCUGCUUCUUCAAUGACGUUUGUGUUCCUAGAAUCCAUUUUCCUCAGUCAGGCCCUGGCCACGAAGACCCCUGCCUACCAAUCUUCUGUACUAGCCCAGCACACAUGGACACAUUCAUCUGCACGACAGACAUCAUGGGGCACCUCCUGUGAGCAGGCGCUGGGGAGACAAGGCCAGCCCGCCUCAGUUCCCACGGUACUCGGAGACAGCAAGCCAGGCCACCCCAGCAUGGUGAGGUGGGCACUGUGUUCACCAAUAAAGGCGGACAAAGGUU